rnacentral:lncRNA from 1 species
AAGUUAUAAUGAAGUCACUAUGUUGGAUACCACAUGCAAGUCAGGUUUUUUUUUCUCCAGUUCAAAGAUGAAUAUGUUUAUUCCAUAUUUCUUGUUGCUUAACAAUAUGGGAAAUAUUGACUGUUCCUGUUGUUAAUGUAUAUAUGUAUAAUAUUCAACGUUUUGGCUUGUCAUGUGAACAUCCCUUGCACAUGACCUCUGUUGCUUCAAAUUGACUGUCAAAAGAUGUUUAGAGCCAGGGUGUCAUAAACAAAGAAACGUUUUUUUAUCUCAAGUUUUUCUUACUUCCUUUGUCACCCUGACUGUGAAUCUGAUGAUUUUUAUUUUUAUUUUUAUUUUUAUUUUUUUUGGAAACUAUUACAUUUGGUUUCUUUGAUUAAAAGACAAAUUCAUGCAGAAUAUAAAGCAAACAGGGUGAAAGAUUUUAAGGUAAAUAUGAUCCAGUAUGUGAAUUCCCUGUGUAAAGUGUGUUUUAAUUUCUUUAUAAAAGAAGACAAAAAAGUGAUAAUAAUAAUAAUAAUAAUAAUAAACAAUAUGUAACAUUUACAGUGAUUACAAAGUGAAUAUCAAUGACACACUGCAGAAGUAUUUCAAUCAGACUUGCAAUGUAUGUAAAUAACAUAAUCUUCCCACAACAACCAACCACCACCAAACAAUCAUGCCAAACCAAAAUCAAAAACUUGCUCUCAAACAUGUUUUCAAACUUCAGUCAUACAUACACGUUACCUGAACAAAUACUUUACAAUUAAUUAAGUAUUUAUACACAGUGGUAAAGUCUGUCAUCCUACUGUAUCCUGUGAAACAAUUUUCCCAUUGAUCAUCAAUUACUUGAUUCAUAGCCACAACACAUUCAAAUGGUUCAGGAGACAGUAAAACUCUGAAGUUACUUGAUUAAUUGCACCAGAGCUCUUACUUAUGAAUUCAACUUGUUACAGCCUGUUCUUCUAUGGCUGAUUCUGUCAAAAAUAAAUAAAUAAAUAAAAAUAGUGAAUUUGCAUUGUUCUUUUAAUUAAAUUGCACUUAUUUGCACACUUGCAUAAAAACCUACUUUCUUUUAAAAGAAAAUAAAAGAGUAAAGAGAAUGUGCACACUCUCUCUGACAAGGUUAAGUAAAAUAAACAUUGAUUGAGGAUUAUAGCAUGAUGAAGGUAAACAUAGUUAUCACCAAGACAAUUCACAUCACAAUUUUAGUAUAUGAUGGUUUCAAUUAUUGCUGAAUCAAUUACAUGAGCAAAGUGUGUUGUUAUGUAUGCUUUUAUGCUUUUUAAGUAAGGAAGCAUGAGUUGUGACCAGUGAGCACUAUUCCAGUACAUGAAAGAGAACUGUCCAAGCAAUUUGGAGAUAGAUGUUGAUAUUUCAAUCAAUUAAUCUCCCCAUAUAACAUCUCCUUAUAUCUGUCCAACUCUGCACAUCCCAUGACUACCACCAUCAAUUGAAGCUUGUGUGGGGACAGAUGCCACCAUAUUUCUCUUAUAUAAUUUAAAGUUCAAGGGCUUUCCUAUUGUAAGAGUGAUUCUCUGUCCUAAAAGAGAGCAUCACAGCACUGAAAGUAUGCUGACUAUUU